AUUGAACGCUGGCGGCAGGCCUAACACAUGCAAGUCGAGCGAGCGGCGGACGGGAGAGUAAUGUAUGGGGACUGCCCGAUAGCGGGGGAUAACUACUGGAAACGGUGGCUAAUACCGCAUACCAUAGGCUAACCCAUAGUGGAUUAGCUAGUAGGUGUGGUAAAGGCUCACCUAGGCGACGAGCUCUAGCUGGUCUGAGAGGAUGAUCAGCAACACUGAGACUGAGACACGGCCCAGACUCCGACGGAGGCAGCAGUGGGGAAUAUUGCACAAUGGGCGCAAGCCUGAUGCAGCCAUGCCGCGUGUAUGAAGAAGGCCUUAGGGUUGUAAAGUACUUGCAGCGGGGAGGCGUUACCCGCGGAAGAAGCACUGGCUAACUCCGUGCCAGCAGCCGCGGUAAUUC
rnacentral:rRNA from 1 species